rnacentral:tRNA from 1 species
GAGGGUAUAGCUCACUGGUAGACCGUGUGCCUAGCAUGCAUGAGGUCCUGGGUUCACCCCCAGUACCGCCA